rnacentral:rRNA from 1 species
UACGGAGGGUGCGAGCGUUGUCCGGAAUCACUGGGCGUAAAGGGUGCGUAGGCGGCUAGUUAAGUCUGCUGUGAAAUCCCCGGGCUCAACCUGGGAAUGGCGAUGGAUACUGGGCAGCUAGAGUGUGUCAGAGGAUGGUGGAAUUCCCGGUGUAGCGGUGAAAUGCGUAGAGAUCGGGAGGAACAUCAGUGGCGAAGGCGGCCAUCUGGGACAACACUGACGCUGAAGCACGAAAGCGUGGGGAGCAAACAGG